CCUACGUGAGGCUGCAGUGAGGAAUAUUGGUCAAUGGGCGAGAGCCUGAACCAGCCAAGUCGCGUGAGGGAGUACUGCCCUAUGGGUUGUAAACCUCUUUUGUCGGGGAGCAAAAGCCGGACGUGUCCGGCUGUGAUAGUACCCGAAGAAAAAGCAUCGGCUAACUCCGUGCCAGCAGCAGCGGUAAUAAGGAGGAUGCGAGCGUUAUCCGGAUUUAUUGGGGUUAAAGGGUGCGCAGGCGGAUUUUUAAGUCAGCGGUCAAAUCGUGGGGCUCAACCCCAUCCAGCCGUUGAAACUGGGGAUCUAGAGUGUGCGAGAGGUAUGCGGAAUGCGUGGUGUAGCGGUGAAAUGCAGAGAUAUCACGCAGAACCCCGAUUGCGAAGGCAGCAUACCGGUGCACAACUGACGCUCAGGCACGAAAGCGUGGGUAUCGAACAGGAUUAGAUACCCUAGUAGUC
rnacentral:rRNA from 1 species